rnacentral:rRNA from 1 species
UACGGAGGGGGCUAGCGUUAUUCGGAAUUAUUGGGCGUAAAGGGCGUGUAGGCGGCUUCGUGUGUCCCAUGUGAAAGCCCUUGGCUCAACCGGGGAACUGCAUGGGAAACUGCGUAGCUUGAGUCCGGGAGAGGAGAGCGGAAUUCCCAGUGUAGCGGUGAAAUGCGUAGAUAUUGGGAGGAACACCGGUGGCGAAGGCGGCUCUCUGGACCGGUACUGACGCUGAGACGCGAAAGCCAGGGGAGCAAACGGG